GACGAACGCUGGCGGCGUGCCUAAUACAUGCAAGUAGAACGCUGAAGGAGGAGCUUGCUUCUCCGGAUGAGUUGCGAACGGGUGAGUAACGCGUAGGUAACCUGCCUGGUAGCGGGGGAUAACUAUUGGAAACGAUAGCUAAUACCGCAUAACAGUAGAUAUUGCAUGAUAUCUGCUUGAAAGGUGCAAUUGCAUCACUACCAGAUGGACCUGCGUUGUAUUAGCUAGUUGGUGAGGUAACGGCUCACCAAGGCGACGAUACAUAGCCGACCUGAGAGGGUGAUCGGCCACACUGGGACUGAGACACGGCCCAGACUCCUACGGGAGGCAGCAGUAGGGAAUCUUCGGCAAUGGACGGAAGUCUGACCGAGCAACGCCGCGUGAGUGAAGAAGGUUUUCGGAUCGUAAAGCUCUGUUGUAAGAGAAGAACGAGUGUGAGAGUGGAAAGUUCACACUGUGACGGUAUCUUACCAGAAAGGGACGGCUAACUACGUGCCAGCAGCCGCGGUAAUACGUAGGUCCCGAGCGUUGUCCGGAUUUAUUGGGCGUAAAGCGAGCGCAGGCGGUUAGAUAAUUCUGAAGUUAAAGGCUGUGGCUUAACCAUAGUACGCUUUGUAAACUGUUUAUCUUGAGUGCAAGAGGGGAGAGUGGAAUUCCAUGUGUAGCGGUGAAAUGCGUAGAUAUAUGGAGGAACACCGGUGGGCGAAAGCGGCUCUCUGGCUUGUAUCUGACGCUGAUGCUCGUAAGCGUGGGGAGCAAACUGUG
rnacentral:rRNA from 1 species